rnacentral:rRNA from 1 species
CCCGAUGGGCAGCCUAUACAUGCAAGUAGAACGCUGAAGAGAGGAGCUUGCUCUUCUUGGAUGAGUUGCGAACGGGUGAGUAACGCGUAGGUAACCUGCCUUGUAGCGGGGGAUAACUAUUGGAAACGAUAGCUAAUACCGCAUAACAAUGGAUGACACAUGUCAUUUAUUUGAAAGGGGCAAUUGCUCCACUACAAGAUGGACCUGCGUUGUAUUAGCUAGUAGGUGAGGUAAUGGCUCACCUAGGCGACGAUACAUAGCCGACCUGAGAGGGUGAUCGGCCACACUGGGACUGAGACACGGCCCAGACUCCUACGGGAGGCAGCAGUAGGGAAUCUUCGGCAAUGGGGGCAACCCUGACCGAGCAACGCCGCGUGAGUGAAGAAGGUUUUCGGAUCGUAAAGCUCUGUUGUAAGUCAAGAACGGGUGUGAGAGUGGAAAGUUCACACUGUGACGGUAGCUUACCAGAAAGGGACGGCUAACUACGUGCCAGCAGCCGCGGUAAUACGUAGGUCCCGAGCGUUGUCCGGAUUUAUUGGGCGUAAAGCGAGCGCAGGCGGUUUGAUAAGUCUGAAGUUAAAGGCUGUGGCUCAACCAUAGUUCGCUUUGGAAACUGUCAAACUUGAGUGCAGAAGGGGAGAGUGGAAUUCCAUGUGUAGCGGUGAAAUGCGUAGAUAUAUGGAGGAACACCGGUGGCGAAAGCGGCUCUCUGGUCUGUAACUGACGCUGAGGCUCGAAAGCGUGGGGAGCGAACAGGAUUAGAUACCCUGGUAGUCCACGCCGUAAACGAUGAGUGCUAGGUGUUGGAUCCUUUCCGGGAUUCAGUGCCGCAGCUAACGCAUUAAGCACUCCGCCUGGGGAGUACGACCGCAAGGUUGAAACUCAAAGGAAUUGACGGGGGCCCGCACAAGCGGUGGAGCAUGUGGUUUAAUUCGAAGCAACGCGAAGAACCUUACCAGGUCUUGACAUCCCGAUGCUAUUUCUAGAGAUAGAAAGUUACUUCGGUACAUCGGUGACAGGUGGUGCAUGGUUGUCGUCAGCUCGUGUCGUGAGAUGUUGGGUUAAGUCCCGCAACGAGCGCCACCCCUAUUGUUAGUUGCCAUCAUUCAGUUGGGCACUCUAGCGAAAUGGCGGU